GCCAGUAGCCAUAUCACCCUGCAACUCACAACUGGCAGCCCACUGAAGCUAAGCAGGUGUGAGCCUGGUCAGUACCUGGAUGUGAGACCUCCUGGGAAAAACUAAGGUUGCAGCUGGAA
ensembl:rRNA 5S_rRNA 5S ribosomal RNA